GUCUCACCUGACAGGACGAAGAGGAGGGUGAUGAAGGUCUGAGGCGUUGGCGGCGACACGGCGGCCAUCCUGUGACUGAGUGUGUCCACUGUCCAGUCAGACGACAACAACAGGACAAUGGCGUAUGGCCUCCAGAUGAAGCGGCCAUCUUUGUAAACACAGAUGGCGUUCGGGUCGUCAGUCAGCAGAGGAUACUCGGAGAAGUCCUCCUGAUUGGCUGGACUGUGGACCAACACAGUAUGCUGCACUUCCUUUGGGUGCAGGACAGUUUCGUACAGCCUCAUGACCGGCUGAUCCCCAGAGCAAAACUGAAAACACAACAGAGAUUUUACUGGAGGACUCAGACCUCACUGUGCAAGAAGGGAACGUUAAUCAGACGCCCUAUAUUCUCUUCAGAGUUCCUACCUGCUGGCGGUAGGCAUCCAGGACUUCCUCCAGGGGGCAGGUGAAGCGGUACGAGCCCAGCCUGGAGCACUCUGAGAAGGCUGGAGAGGUGGU